rnacentral:rRNA from 1 species
CCCUUAGAUGUUCUGGGCCGCACGCGUGCUACACUGAUGCAUUCAACGAGUCUAAAACCUGGUCUGAUAGGGCUGGGUAAUCUUUUGAAAGUGCAUCGUGAUUGGGAUAGAUGAUUGCAAUUCUUCAUCUUCAACGAGGAAUGCCUAGUAAACGCAAGUCAUCAGCUUGCAUUGAUUACGUCCCUGCCCUUUGUACACACCGCCCGUCGCUCCUACCGAUUGAAUGAUCCGAUGAAUACCAUGGAUUGAGAGUACGAAUAGGUUCGCUUAUUUCUGCUGCUCAAGAAGUGGAGUAAAUCUUAUCAUUUAGAGGAAGGAGAAGUCGUAACA